GACGAACCGUGCGAACGUUGUUCGGAAUCACUGGGCUUAAAGGGCGCGUAGGCGGGUUCCCAAGUCGGUGGUGAAAUCUUGCGGCUCAACCGUAGAAGUGCCGCCGAUACUGGGAGUCUCGAGGGAGGUAGGGGUCGAGGGAACUUCCGGUGGAGCGGUGAAAUGCGUAGAUAUCGGAAGGAACGCCGGUGGCGAAAGCGCUCGACUGGACCUUUUCUGACGCUGAGGCGCGAAAGCCAGGGGAGCAAACGGG
rnacentral:rRNA from 1 species